rnacentral:rRNA from 1 species
GAUGAACGCUGGCGGCGUGCCUAAUACAUGCAAGUCGAGCGAACAGACGAGGAGCUUGCUCCUCUGACGUUAGCGGCGGACGGGUGAGUAACACGUGGAUAACCUACCUAUAAGACUGGGAUAACUUCGGGAAACCGGAGCUAAUACCGGAUAAUAUAUUGAACCGCAUGGUUCAAUAGUGAAAGACGGUUUUGCUGUCACUUAUAGAUGGAUCCGCGCCGCAUUAGCUAGUUGGUAAGGUAACGGCUUACCAAGGCAACGAUGCGUAGCCGACCUGAGAGGGUGAUCGCCCACACUGGAACUGAGACACGGUCCAGACUCCGACGGGAGGCAGCAGUAGGGACGCUUCCGCAAUGGGCGAAAGCUUGACGGAGCAGCGCCGCGUGAGUGAUGCAGGUCUUCGGAUCGUAAAACUCUGUUAUUAGGGAAGAACAAAUGUGUAAGUAACUAUGCACGUCUUGACGGUACCUAAUCAGAAAGCCACGGCUAACUACGUG